rnacentral:tRNA from 1 species
AUUUAAGUAGCUUAUUAAAAGCAUAAUAUUGAAGCUAUUAAGAUGGUUGAUUUAACCCUUAAAUA